rnacentral:rRNA from 1 species
GCUGGCGGCGUGCCUAACACAUGCAAGUCGAACGAGAAAGUGGAGCAAUCCAUGAGUAAAGUGGCGACCGGGUGAGUAACACGUGACUAACCUGCCUUCGAGUGGGGGAUAACCUCGGGAAACCGGGGCUAAUACCGCAUAAUGCCUUCGGGUUAAAGGAGCAAUUCGCUUGAAGAGGGGGUCGCGGCUGAUUAGCUAGUUGGCGGGGUAACGGCCCACCAAGGCGAUGAUCGGUAGCCGGCCUGAGAGGGCGCACGGCCACACUGGAACUGAAACACGGUCCAGACUCCUACGGGAGGCAGCAGUGGGGAAUUUUGCGCAAUGGGGGAAACCCUGACGCAGCAACGCCGCGUGGAGGAUGAAGUCCCUUGGGACGUAAACUCCUUUCGACCGGGACGAUUAUGACGGUACCGGUGGAAGAAGCCCCGGC